UAUGAUGUUUUAUUGAUUGACAAUAUUUAUAGCUCUAGGUCUAGUUACAGUUGUAGAAUAUGAUGUCUUAUUGAUUGACAAUAUUUAUAGCUCUAGGUCUAGUUACAGUUGUAGAAUAUGAUGUUUUAUUGAUUGACAAUAUUUAUAGCUCUAGGUCUAGUAACAGUUGUAGAAUAUGAUGUUUUAUUGAUUGACAAUAUUUAUAGCUCUAGGUCUAGUUACAGUUGUAGAAUAUGAUGUUUUAUUGAUUGACAAUAUUUAUAGCUCUAGGUCUAGUAACAGUUGUAGAAUAUGAUGUUUUAUUGAUUGACAAUAUUUAUAGCUCUAGGUCUAGUUACAGUUGUAGAAUAUGAUGUUUUAUUGAUUGACAAUAUCUAUAGCUCUAGGUCUAGUUACAGUUGUAGAAUAUGAUGUUUUAUUGUCCCUGACGUUAUGCAUUACACGAAGUAGCAACAUGUGAUACGAUAUCAGCUACUUCUUUAUUUGUCUGAUAUGACUGAAGAGGUUUAAUAAAAGUGUAUCGGGAUGAUGUUGCGUAUAUCAUGCAUGUCUGCCAGGGAUGCAUUUUAGUUA